CCUACGGGUGGCAGCAGUGAGGAAUAUUGGUCAAUGGGCGCGAGCCUGAACCAGCCAAGUAGCGUGAAGGAUGACUGCCCUACGGGUUGUAAACUUCUUUUAUAAAGGAAUAAAGUGAGUCACGUGUACCUUUUUGUAUGUACCUUAUGAAUAAGGAUCGGCUAACUCCGUGCCAGCAGCCGCGGUAAUACGGAAGAUCCGAGCGUUAUCCGGAUUUAUUGGGUUUAAAGGGAGCGUAGAUGGGUUGUUAAGCCAGUUGUGAAAGUUGCGGGCUCAACCCGAACCUUGCAAUUGAUACUGGCGGUCUUGAGUACAAUGGAGGUAGGCGGAAUUCGUGGUGUAGCGGUGAAAUGCUUAGAUAUGACGAAGAACUCCGAUUGCGAAGGCAGCUUGCUGAAGUGCAACUGACGCUGAUGCUCGAAAGCGUGGGUAUCGAACAGGAUUAGAUACCCUAGUAGUC
rnacentral:rRNA from 1 species